CGCGCCACCGCCGCCCCCUCUCCCAGUACGUCACCGAGCGCCCCCUGGACGGCGUAAAUCCGGCUGCACUAUGUCUUCGAGAUCCUCCAUCAGCUGCUCCUCCUCCCUCUAGAUAUUUGAUCAUUGCCCCAUCUACCCCUGUACGCCGCCAUGCCCCACCAUGGCUACUCACAGGAGGUGCUCCAGCAGGAAGCCACCGGCAAUAUAGGCAGGAAAACUACUAUCGUGUGCGGCUGUGGCAGGUUCUUCUCGCCAUUGCCUGAGAGAAGCAUCACCGGUCCUGGGCUUUGUCCUGAGAGAAGCAUCGCCAGUUGGGAGAGUUCAAAGGUAGCGGAGAAUCUAUAAGUUCUACUAGUGGUGCAUGCCAAGUUCAAGGAUUUUGCCAUGCUCGAGCAUCCACUGGCUCCGACCUCCACCCACUGCCGCGCUCCUGGGAUCCACAACCUCCGACCUUGCAUGGACCUCGGCUGGUUUCUCUAUCCCGAGUGUCGCCGCCGGCCUCCCUGCAGCAUGGCUUCGGUUCCCUCUCCGGAUGCGUCUGCGCCAACCAUCUCUACGAGCCUAUUCCUUUGUUGGACUACUCCUUCCACCAGCAACCCCCUAGCAAACCUCAUGUCUCAUAUUUGUUCUAUUCUUGCAGGAUGCAUAAAAAAGCUAGAUUGACAAAUUCAUCUUCUAUAUGCUUUUCAGUUCAUCGACUUCCCAUUGAUUCUUCUUCCUUGUGGAGCUUGAUACAACACUUCUGUCAUCAUAGCCUUUUCAUGUCUGUACAUCUACAUGAAAAGAUAAAUAUACUAGUUUGGAUCUUCAUUAGUUUCAGUCACCCCGCAGCCCAGCCAGCAACUCCGCCAUCUCCCCGUACCGGAUCGAGCUCCAGAUCAAGUCCCGCAUCUACACUUUUCUGUAGAUAUUUUACAACUUCUCCGAAUAUGCGUCCACCAACGUGCUCGGUGCCGUCCACAACUUCAUCGUGUGAGAGCUUCUGCUCCAAAUCCUCUUCCUCCAUGCUCCCCGCAUGCCGUGAUGACCAGGUCUGCAACCGAAACUGAAGUAUAGUGUUCUUGGAACCAAACUGAAGCAAUGCAACGAGAAGUACACAAACCUGGGCUGAUGUACCUUGUCCUAUACCCACUUCUUUGCCUGGAUGUAGGAAUCUGAUAGAAAAAAUAAGUUUGAUUUCUUGGCACACUGUCUUGUCCAUGUGUGUGGCAUUAAUCACACGACGCGCUGCAGGGGCGGUCGCCUACGGAGGGUGGAGCGUCGGCAAUAAGCACCUCUGUCCCAUCCUGCUCCUCUCAUCGCGUGACUGUCUCCUUGGCCACCCUGCACCUUGACAUCGAGCACUGCCCUCCCAUGAGAGAUCGGACGGACAAGGCGCCCCUGCCACCUUCUUCCCCGUGGAUCCAGCUCAUGUUCCCCGCCGACAGCAGGACACAUGAGGUCACCUCCGGCGCUGCUGGUGGCGUGAAGGCCGUCAAAUGGUGAUAUAUUUGGACCUUUGCCUCGUCAGUACAACAGCAUUCUCCCCAGCCGGUACGAGAAGAGCUGCGUGUAGGCCGCCCUGUGCUCCGUCCUUGAUCUGCCUUAGUCAUCUCCCUUUCAUCCUCUCUCUGCUCCGUGUGUGUGUGUGUGUGUGUGUGUGUGCAGGGAGUGGAAGCAGAUAGAGCAGCGGAGUGGGAGGCCCUUCCAUGGUGAAUUCAUAGGCAUCUUCCAUGGAGAUUGUGAGCUUUGCUUGAGGAUUUAUGUUGUUGAUCUGUCCAUUGUAGUUCGAUAUU